rnacentral:rRNA from 1 species
CGGGAAAAGCUCAAAUUUAAAAUCUGGCAGUCUUUGGCUGUCCGAGUUGUAAUCUGUAGAGGAUGCUUUUGGUACGGCGCCUUCUGAGUUCCCUGGAAUGGGACGCCAUAGAGGGUGAGAGCCCCGUAUAGUUGGACGCCAAGCCUCUGUAAAGCACCUUCGAC